rnacentral:rRNA from 1 species
GUAGGGAAUAUUGGGCAAUGGAGGCAACUCUGACCCAGCCAUGCCGCGUGCAGGAAGACGGUCCUCUGGAUUGUAAACUGCUUUUGAAUGGGAAGAAACGCACUUUUGCGAAAGUGUUUGACGGUACUAUUAGAAUAAGCACCGGCUAACUCCGUGCCAGCAGCCGCGGUAAUACGGAGGGUGCAAGCGUUAUCCGGAUUUAUUGGGUUUAAAGGGUGCGUAGGCGGCUUGAUAAGUCUGGGGUUAAAGGCGGCAGCUUAACUGUACGCAUGCCCUAGAUACUGUUGAGCUUGAGUGACCUGGAGGUAGCUGGAAUUCCCUGUGUAGCGGUGAAAUGCAUAGAUACGGGGAGGAAUACCGAUUGCGAAGGCAUGUUACUACGAGUAAACUGACGCUGAUGCACGAAAGCGUGGGGAUCAAACAGGAUUAGAAACCCUUGUAGUCC